rnacentral:rRNA from 1 species
UACGAAGGGGGCUAGCGUUGCUCGGAAUCACUGGGCGUAAAGGGUGCGUAGGCGGGUCUUUAAGUCAGAGGUGAAAUCCUGGAGCUCAACUCCAGAACUGCCUUUGAUACUGAAGAUCUUGAGUUCGGGAGAGGUGAGUGGAACUGCGAGUGUAGAGGUGAAAAUUCGUAGAUAUUCGCAAGAACACCAGUGGCGAAGGCGGCUCACUGGCCCGAUACUGACGCUGAGGCACGAAAGCGUGGGAGCAAGCAGGG